CUAAAAUCUCAGGAGCCAGGAUCUCAUUACCCAUUCAGUCUUAGGGAUUGCUUUCAUUCAGCAAGGCAAAAAGGCUUUGAGCAGUCCCACAAUUGCCUUAGUCUCAUUUAUUUGUGGUAGUAUUAAGGUUUAUUUGUUUUCUGGUUUGCACUUCUUCUGAAAUUAUUUCUCUUAGUUUAUUCAUUUAACAAAAUGUUCCUUCCUAUGCCACAGAAGAAAGUGCCUAUAAGGCCUACAUAGGUUCUUCAGUCUGCAAACCUCCCUUUGAGAACAUUUCUUUCAACUCACAUUGCUGGAGCUCCUAAAUAUCUUUCAAGGUUGUCUGACCCCUUUUUCUCAUCCUGCAAAUUUGACUGCAAGGAUUUUUUCUUUGCCCAGUGUCAUGAUUGAUAAAGGCCAGACUCCAGAUUCCUGAGACUGAGGCAGAAGAUUGUCUGCAAGAAAAUCCACCUAUAAUUGGUAGAGGAACAUCAUUGAUAAAUGGCCUGGCUCAUGUCCUAUGAUGAUGUCAAUAAUGAUAACAAUUCCAGUCCAGGAUGAGCUCAUGCAUCCAUUUUUUCAUCAAGGAGUAAAAAUUUUAAUAGAUUGUGAAUUUGAAGAUAUUCUCAUCUUAAUCAUGACAUCAUUUACUUUGUUCAGA
rnacentral:lncRNA from 1 species